GAUGAACGCUGGCGGCGUGCCUAAUACAUGCAAGUCGAGCGAACGGACGAGAAGCUUGCUUUUCUGAUGUUAGCGGCGGACGGGUGAGUAACACGUGGAUAACCUACCUAUAAGACUGGGAUAACUUCGGGAAACCGGAGCUAAUACCGGAUAAUAUUUUGAACCGCAUGGUUCAUAAGUGAAAGACGGUCUUGCUGUCACUUAUAGAUGGAUCCGCGCUGCAUUAGCUAGUUGGUAAGGUAACGGCUUACCAAGGCAACGAUGCAUAGCCGACCUGAGAGGGUGAUCGGCCACACUGGAACUGAGACACGGUCCAGACUCCUACGGGAGGCAGCAGUAGGGAAUCUUCCGCAAUGGGCGAAAGCCUGACGGAGCAACGCCGCGUGAGUGAUGAAGGUCUUCGGAUCGUAAAACUCUGUUAUUAGGGAAGAACAUAUGUGUAAGUAACUGUGCACAGCUUGACGGUACCUAAUCAGAAAGCCACGGCUAACUACGUG
rnacentral:rRNA from 1 species